AGGCAGCGCCAGCAGAGAGGGAGGCGGGGCGGGGCUGCGCGGUGGGCUGCGGUUCCGGGGACUGGAAACAAGCGGAGCAGAGGAGCCCUUCGCGGCACCGGCACCGCAGGAACCAGGGUCUCAGGGACGCCUGGGGAGUGGUGGCGGGGGGUUGAGUGCUGCUUGGGAUGCCUGAAUCCCGUCCUGCAGCACCUGGGACGGAGUCCCAGCCCCACUUCUUCUAUUUUUCUUUUUUAAGAUUUAUUUGAAAGGCAGAGUUACAGAAAGAGAGAUCUUCCAUCUGCUGGUUCACCCCCCCCCCCCAAAUGGCCCCAACAGCUGGAGCCUGGCCAGGCCGAAGCCGGGAGCCAGGAGCUUCUUCUGGGUCUCCCAGGCAGGUGCAGGAACCUAAGCACUUGGGCCAUCUUCUACUGCUUUCCUAGGCCGUAGCAGAGAGCUGGAUCGAAGUGGAGCAGCCAGCACUGCAGGCUGUGGCUUUACCCACUGCACCACAGUGCCCCCCCCACUCCUGUUCCAGAUUCCUGCUAACACCCCUAAAAGGCAGCAGUUGAUGGAGCUCCUGGCUCCUGGCUUCAGCCCGGCCCAGCCCCCGCAGUUCAGGCCUGAGGGGAGUGAACCAGCAUGAAGUGCUCGCGCCCCCCCCCUUCUUUUUUCUGUCAUCUGCCUUUCAAAUCCAUAAGUGAAUAGAUCAAUCCUUUUUUUUUUUUUUUUUUUAAGGAAGAGCCGGCUGGUUGUUGAGUGCGCGGGCCGGGGCUGUGAGAGGAAGCCUGGCCCGCCGGCCGUGGGCGUGAGCUCCCCAGGUGCGGGCGGCAGCCGGCAGCGCCGUGUCCUGCUGGGAACACAGUGGACUCCAGGUCCGAGUCCCUUCCGAGGGUUCCUCGUGGGCUGAGGGCCCCUCCGCACGCCUUCUGAGGAAUGUGGGUGCCACAUGGCUGGCCGUGGCGGCACUCAGCUCUCUGCCCGCCUCGUACUUCUGUGUCUGUCCCUGCUGCAAACAGGGUAGGGGGCCUGACCUCUAUUUUACUCCAGGACAGGGCUCCCUAGGUCCCAGGGGAGAGGAGCACCGGCUACGCACAACGCCAAAGAGAGCCGGGCAGGGCCAGGGCCGGGGCCAGGGCCCAGAGCUGCUGAGUCGUGCGCAGGCAGC
rnacentral:lncRNA from 1 species